ncrna:unclassified sequences eL15-Euryarchaeota ribosomal protein leader
GCGGACGAAAGUCCGCAGGGAUGUGGCCGCAAGGCUGAACCAUAAA